UACGGGGGGGGCAAGCGUUGUUCGGAAUUACUGGGCGUAAAGGGUGCGUAGGCGGUUCGCUAAGUUGGAUGUGAAAACUCUGGGCUUAACCCAGAGCCUGCAUCCAAUACUGACGAGCUAGAGUUCUGGAGGGGGUAGCGGAAUUCCUGGUGUAGCGGUGAAAUGCGUAGAUAUCAGGAGGAACACCCGUGGCGAAGGCGGCUCUCGUGGGACGGUACUGACGCUGAGACGCGAAAGCGUGGGGAGCGAACAGG
rnacentral:rRNA from 1 species